UAUUUCCAAAGCCUAAAAUAAAUUUGGUUAAAUGUCAAAAAGGGGGUCAAGCUGUGAGGAAGAGCUUGCAGUCAACAUCAGUACCAUCAAUAAGGACACCUGCAUCUGCCUAAAGGGCGGGAAUAUCUCAAGCAUGUGUGAACCCCUCCUCCCAAACACCUCAGCGGUUAAUGAAAAGAUGGGAAAUUAAGACGUCCAGCUGGUCACUACAUUUGAAACUACCAUAAUAACUACCAUGAAAGGUGAGAAGAAUGGAGUCUUUUUCUACCCCCACCGUCCACUCACCGAAACCCAGAGUCUAGACUGAGCCCCAGAUGGAAGGUGAUGGGUGGGGGGGGGUUCAUAAACUGCAACAAAUGAAGACAAAAUGCUUUCAGCUGCCCUUGGCGGACGAGGAUGGAUCUGCUCUCGUGCUUCGUAUGGAAGAGGGGGGACGUUUGACGGGGUCUUCAACCGCGCUGUCCUCUCUGCAGAGACUUUUCCUGCAGUGGCAUUUGUCAACAGGAGCUCGCAUUAGCAUACAGAGCAAAUCCUGUCAAAUAUUUAAAUGAAUCUUGAGCGGAAACACAUUGAUUAUUAGAUUUCUUCAGGGAUUCUUUUCCCCCCCAUUAUUGAUUCAUCUGCUGAUCAUAUUCUCAAUUCAUUGUUUGUUCACUGCCGUCAAAUGUCAGGAAAUCGAAUGAAUCAAAUGUGAUCAUAGAAGCAUUAGAUAACCAGAACAUGUGAACAUUGGAGGAGCUGGAAACACUUUUGCUUUAAAAAAACAAACUUGUUGCAGAUUUUAUGCUGUUAAUCGAUUGAUUGUUUCAGCUUUAAUUGAUGUAAAAUCUAGAAAAGCCUAUGGAUGGAUGGCAAAGUUUGUGUUUGCUUCACUGCUAAAGACUC